rnacentral:rRNA from 1 species
GAUGAACGCUAGCGCUAGGCUUAACACAUACAAGUCGAACGAGUGGCGGACGGGUGAGUAAUGCUUGGGAAUCUAGCUUAUGGAGGGGGAUAACUACGGGAAACUGUAGCUAAUACCGCAUACCAUCAGAUGUGCCCAGAUGGGAUUAGCUAGUAGGGGGGGUAACGGCUCACCUAGGCGACGAUCCCUAGCUGGUCUGAGAGGAUGACCAGCCAAACUGUAACUGAGACACGGUCCAGACUCCUACGGGAGGCAGCAGUGGGGAAGAUGGCACAAUGGGCGCAAGGCUGAUGCAGCCAUGCCGCGUGUGUGAAGAAGGCCUUCGGGUUGUAAAGCACUUUCAGCGGGGAGGCGUUACCCGCAGAAGAAGCACCGGCUAACUCCGUGCCAGCCGCCGCGGUAAUUC